UACGGGGGGAGCAAGCGUUGUUCGGAUUUACUGGGCGUAAAGGGCGCGUAGGCGGCCUCUGCAAGUCAGUUGUGAAAUCUCCGGGCUUAACUCGGAAAGGUCAACUGAUACUGCAGGGCUAGAGUGCGGGAAGGGGCAACUGGAAUUCUCGGUGUAGCGGUGAAAUGCGUAGAUAUCGAGAGGAACACCUGCGGCGAAGGCGGGUUGCUGGGCCGACACUGACGCUGAAGCGCGAAAGCUAGGGGAGCGAACGGG
rnacentral:rRNA from 1 species